rnacentral:rRNA from 1 species
UACGUAGGCAGCGAGCGUUGUUCGGAAUUACUGGGCGUAAAGAGUGUGUAGGCGGUGCUCCCAGUCUGUUGUGAAAUCUCCCGGCUUAACUGGGAGGGUGCAGCGGAAACUAGAGUGCUAGAGGGUGGGAGAGGUAAGCGGAAUUCCUGGUGUAGCGGUGAAAUGUGUAGAUAUCAGGAGGAACACCUGUGGUGUAGACAGCUUACUGGACCACUUCUGACGCUGAGACACGAAAGCGUGGGUAGCAAACAGG